UCAAAAACAUGUCUUUUUGAAUUAAAUUUAAAGUCUAACCUGCCCACUGAUAUAAAUUAAAGGGCCGCAGUAUUUUGACUGUGCGAAGGUAGCAUAAUCACUAGUCUUUUAAUUGGAGGCUUGUAUGAAUGGUUGAAUGAGAUAUAUACUGUCUUUUUUAAAAUUAUAUAGAAUUUUAUUUUUUAAUUAAAAAGUUAAAAUAAAAUUAAAGGACGAGAAGACCCUAUAGAUCUUUAUUUUUGUUAUUUAUAAAUUAAAAAGAAUUUUAAAAUUUAUAAUUUAAUAAAAAAUUUUAUUGGGGUGAUAUUAAAAUUUAAAAAACUUUUAAAAUUUAUUAACAUAAAUAUAUGAAUAA
rnacentral:rRNA from 1 species